GGGGGCGACCGGUUUCGACGGGGAUAUUGACGCCAUCGUUGCAUGUCGAGAUCUCGGGAACUCGUAAAAUUCCGGGAAAAACGCAACUGCCAACCAAGAACUGGCACUCGCAGCCUAAUUUAGGCUGAGACGUCGUUCCAUCUGAGGCCCGCGGGGGUGGAAUGGCGCGAUGCAGCGGGCUGGUCCCACGCCGGUGCUCAGCGGCGUGGGGCGAGACAAUACUGGGCUAGCGGCGGUUCUAAGCCGGCCGAUAGGCGUGGGUCGCUGCGAAGCUUAAAGAAUCGGCUACACAUGUAGAUGCGAUGUGCCGACGAUCUUCGGACAGGGGUUCAACUCCCCUCGCCUCCACCA
rfam:Candidatus Nitrospira defluvii chromosome, complete genome.